rnacentral:rRNA from 1 species
GAUGAACGCUGGCGGCGUGCUUAACACAUGCAAGUCGAACGGAAAGGCCCAAGCUUGCUUGGGUACUCGAGUGGCGAACGGGUGAGUAACACGUGGGUGAUCUGCCCUGCACUUCGGGAUAAGCCUGGGAAACUGGGUCUAAUACCGGAUAGGACCACUUCUUGGAUGUUGUGGUGGAAAGUUUUUCGGUGUGGGAUGAGCUCGCGGCCUAUCAGCUUGUUGGUGGGGUAAUGGCCUACCAAGGCGUCGACGGGUAGCCGGCCUGAGAGGGUGUACGGCCACAUUGGGACUGAGAGACGGACCAGACUCCUACGGGAGGCAGCAGUGGGGAAUAUUGCACAAUGGGCGCAAGCCUGAUGCAGCGACGCCGCGUGGGGGAUGACGGCCUUCGGGUUGUAAACUCCUUUCGCUAGGGACGAAGCUUAUUUUGUGACGGUACCUGGAGAAGAAGCACCGGCUAACUACGUG